ensembl:lncRNA
UGGCAAUAGCACCAGAUGGAAUGCAAAUAAUCCUGCAAGCAUACAAGGAUCCUGCCCCUUCUCUCUCCAACCCAUCAUUUGCCCAGAAGACUAAGGAGCCAAGAGGAAUAAGAAUUGGUCCUGCAGGAGUGAUGCUCUUGGGAUAUUGACAGGAUUCUGGGAUCAGAGAAUAUGUGGUAGUGGUUUAGUCACUAAGUUGUGUUUGACGCUUUGCAACCCUAUGAACUGUAGCCCACCAGGCUCCUCUGUCCAUAGGACUCUCCAGACAAGGAUACUGGAGUGGGUUGCCAUGCCCUCCUCCAGGGGCUCUUCCAGGCCCAGGAAUUGAACCUGGAUCUCUUGCAAUGCAGGCAGAUUCUUUACCUACUGAGCCACCAGGGAAGCACCUAAAGAAUGUAUACUAC